AUGGAUGCGGCAGUGGGGUGUGCAACCGGGCCUAGGGCUACAGGCGGCGACGGCGGCGUACUCGUACGAGACGAAACGAAGACUUCAAGUGUCUAAAUUAUGAGCCGAUGGAAGUGAAGCCGAGCCGUCGUUUGUUUGGUGCCGGCUGACUUCAAGACGAAGGAAUCGUGAAACUAAGCCGAUGGCAUCUAUUCCCAGAACUUCCCUAUUCCCACGGCCG
rnacentral:lncRNA from 1 species